AUAAGGGCAUGCGGUGGAUGCCUUGGCAACGGGAGGCGAAGAAGGACGUGGCAGGCUGCGAAAAGCGACGGUGAGCUGCGAGCGAGCGUUGACCCGUCGAUAUCCGAAUGGGGAAACCCACUUGGCGGGAGCCAAGUAUCUCCUGCAAAGGAGAGGCGAACCGGGUGAAGUGAACCAUCUCAGUAACCCGAGGAAAAGAAAUCGAAAGAGAUUCCCUAAGUAGUGGCGAGCGAAAGGGGAAGAGCCCAAAAUCAUAACGUGUAAGCCCAGGGGCGUUGCGUUAUGGUGGUUGUGGGGCGCUUGUAGCUGCACCCUGGAUGCAGCGAGAGAAGUGUUUUGUUUAGCUGAAAGGUCUGGGAAGGCCUACCGAAGAGGGUGAAAGUCCCGUAAGCGAAAAGCAAGGCGCUCUCUUUCAAGCGUACCCGAGUAGGGCGGGACCCGAGAAAUCCCGUCUGAAUCUGGGGGGACCAUCCUCCAAGGCUAAAUACUACCCGUUGACCGAUAGUGAAGAAGUACCGUGAGGGAAAGGUGAAAAGCACCCCGGGAGGGGGAUGAAAGAGAACCUGAAACCGCAUGUCUACAAGAGGUCGAAGCGUGCUAAAGCGCGACGGCGUGCCUUUUGAUUAAUGCGCCUGCGAGUUAUGUUAUGUGGCGAGGUUAAGUCGAGUGAGACGAAGCCGAAGGGAAACCGAGUCUGAAGAGGGCGGCAGUCACAUGACAUAGACCCGAAGCCGGAUGAGCUACCCAUGGCCAGGGUGAAGGUGGGCUAAACCCCACUGGAGGCCCGAACCUAUUGCUAGUGAAAAAGCAUUGGAUGAGCUGUGGGUAGGAGUGAAAAGCUAACCGAAUCCGGUGAUAGCUGGUUCUCCCCGAAACGUAUUGAGGUACGGCCUUGCAUGGUUAGUUAUGGAGGUAGAGCACUGAAUGGGGUAGGGGGCGUGAGCCUUCCGAACCCAAUCAAACUCCGAAUGCCAUAACUCAAAGUGCAGGAGACAGACUACGAGGGAUAAGCUCCGUGGUCGAGAGGGAAAUAGCCCAGACCGCCAGUUAAGGUCCCUAAGAGUGGCUAAGUGUUAAAGGAAGUGAUGUGCCGAAGACAGCCAGGAGGUUGGCUCAGAAGCAGCCAUCCUUAAAAGAGUGCGUAACAGCUCACUGGUUGAGGCACGUUGCGCCGAAGAUGUAAGGGGGCUAAAGCCAUUCACCGAAACUGCGGAACAUGUUUUAACAUGUUGGUAGGGGAGCGUUGGGCAGUAGGGAGAAGGCAGACCUGCGAAGGCUGCUGGACGAAGCCCAAGUGCGGAUGCAGGCAUGAGUAGCGAGAGGAAGGUGAGAAACCUUCCCCCCUUAAGCCCAAGGGUACCUGGGGAAGGCUUGUCCGCCCAGGGUUAGGCGGUACCCUAAGGGAAAGGCGAAAGCCGUACCCGAUGGGAAGCCGGUUAAUAUUCCGGCCCUUGGAAGCUGGAGCGAAGGGGUGACGCAGGAGGAUAAGCUGUGUGGUCAAGUGGUAUGGCCAUCCAAGCGGUGAGGCAGGGGAUGCAGGCAAAUCCACAUCUCCGAAACUGAGCCGUGACGGGAAGCUCUGCAGAGAUGCAGAGCGACACAGCCGUGUUCACACUGCCGAGAAAAGCCUCUAAGUGAUGAAAGCUUCCGAACCGUUCUGGAAACCGACACAGGUGGGCUGGCAUAGUAUGCUAAGGGGGACGGGAUAACUUCCGUUAAGGAACUAGGCAAAAUAGCCCCGUAACUUCGGGAGAAGGGGUGCUUGGCACUGUGGGCAACUGCAGAGCCAAGCCGCAGUGAAGAGGUCCAGGCGACUGUUUACCAAAAACACAGGACUCUGCAAACUCGAAAAGAGGAAGUAUAGGGUCUGACGCCUGCCCAGUGCCGGAAGGUUAAGGGGAGCGGUGAGAGCUGCGAACCGAAGCCCCGGUAAACGGCGGCCGUAACUAUAACGGUCCUAAGGUAGCGAAAUUCCUUGUCGGGCAAGUUCCGACCUGCAUGAAAGGCGUAACGAUCUGGACACUGUCUUAACGGAGGACCCGGUGAAAUUGCAAUCUGGGUGAAGAUGCCCAGUACCCACGGCUAGACGGAAAGACCCCGUGAAGCUUUACUGCAACCUGAUAUUGUGCUUUAGCGCAUCAUGUACAGGAUAGGUGGGAGGCUAAGAACCAUGCUCGCCAGGGUAUGGGGAGCCGCCGGUGGGAUACCACCCUUGAUGUGUUGGAGUGCUAACUUGAGCCUGUAAAGCAGGCAAAGGACAGUGUCAGGCGGGCAGUUUGACUGGGGCGGUCGCCUCCAAAAAGGUAACGGAGGCGUGCAAAGGUCACCUCAGGCUGGUUGGUAAUCAGCCGAAGAGUGCAAGGGCAAAAGGUGGCUUGACUGUGAGAGCGACGGCUCGAGCAGACGCGAAAGCGGGUCCUAGUGAUCCUGUGGCACCGUAUGGAAGGGCCAUGGCUAAACGGACAAAAGUUACUCCGGGGAUAACAGGCUGAUACCGUCCGAGAGUUCACAUCGACGACGGUGUUUGGCACCUCGAUGUCGACUCAUCGCAUCCUGGGGCUGAAGCAGGUCCCAAGGGUUGGGCUGUUCGCCCAUUAAAGCGGUACGUGAGUUGGGUUCAGAACGUCGUGAGACAGUUCGGUCCCUAUCUACCGUGGGCGUAGGAGACUUGAGGGGAGUCGUCCUUAGUACGAGAGGACCGGGAUGAGCGUACCAAUGGUUUACCAGUUAUCCUACCAAGGGUAUAAGCUGGGUAGCCACGUGCGUAAGAGAUAAGCGCUGAAAGCAUCUAAGCGCGAAACUCACCCCAAGAAGAGGUCUCCCAUCCAGUCAAUGGAGUAAGGGCGGUUCGAGACUAGGACCUUGAUAGGCCGGAAGUGUAAGCGCGGUGACGUGUUGAGCUGACCGGUACUAAUAGCCCGAGGCCUUAACC
rnacentral:rRNA from 1 species